rnacentral:rRNA from 1 species
UACGGAGGAUGCAAGCGUUAUCCGGAUUCAUUGGGUUUAAAGGGUGCGCAGGCGGGGGAAUAAGUCAGUGGUGAAAAGCUGCCGCUCAACGGUAGUCUUGCCAAUGAUACUGUUUUUCUUGAGUGUGGAUGAAGUAGGCGGAAUUUGUGGUGUAGCGGUGAAAUGCAUAGAUAUCGGGAGGAACACCGGUGGCGAAGGCGGCCUCCUGGACCAUUCCUGACACUCAGACGCGAAAGCUAGGGUAGCAAACGGGAUUAGAUACCCGCGUA